rnacentral:rRNA from 1 species
AUGGCUCAGGACGAACGCUGGCGGCGUGCUUAACACAUGCAAGUCGAACGAGGAUAUGUUGAGGGCUCGGCCUGGAAGAUGUAAUUCGAGUGGCGGACGGGUGAGUAACGCGUGAACAAUCUGUCCCGGACAGGGGAAUAACACUUGGAAACAGGUGCUAAUACCGCAUAAGACCACGCCCUCGCAUGGGGGAGGGGUAAAAGGAGCAAUCCGGUUCGGGGUGAGUUCGCGUCCGAUUAGAUAGUUGGUGAGGUAACGGCCCACCAAGUCGACGAUCGGUAGCCGACCUGAGAGGGUGAUCGGCCACAUUGGAACUGAGAGACGGUCCAAACUCCUACGGGAGGCAGCAGUGGGGAAUAUUGGGCAAUGGGCGAAAAAGCCUGACCCAGCAACGCCGCGUGAGUGAAGAAGGCUUUCGGGUUGUAAAGCUCUGUUAUAGGGGACGAAGGAAGUGACGGUACCCUAUAAGGAAGCCCCGGCUAACUACGUGCCAGCCGCCGC